rnacentral:tRNA from 1 species
AAUCUCAUGGCGUAGUGGUAACGCGCCCCAACUAGAGAUCGGGGAGUCGUGAGUUCGAUUCUCACUGAGAAGA